rnacentral:rRNA from 1 species
UACGAAGGGGGCUAGCGUUGCUCGGAAUCACUGGGCGUAAAGCGCACGUAGGCGGAUUCUUAAGUCGGUGGUGAAAUCCUGGAGCUCAACUCCAGAACUGCCUUUGAUACUGAAGAUCUUGAGUUCGGGAGAGGUGAGUGGAACUGCGAGUGUAGAGGUGAAAAUUCGUAGAUAUUCGCAAAGAACACCAGUGGCGAAGGCGGCUCACUGGCCCGAUACUGACGCUGAGGCACGAAAAGGCGUGGGGA